rnacentral:rRNA from 1 species
CGUACACUCCUGCGGGAGGCAGCAGUGGGGAAUAUUGCACAAUGGGCGCAAGCCUGAUGCAGCGACGCCGCGUGGGGGAUGAAGGCCUUCGGGUUGUAAACUCCUUUCGCUAGGGACGAAGCUUUUUUGUGACGGUACCUAGAUAAGAAGCACCGGCUAACUACGUGCCAGCAGCCGCGGUAAUACGUAGGGUGCGAGCGUUGUCCGGAAUUACUGGGCGUAAAGGGCUCGUAGGUGGUUUGUCGCGUCGUCUGUGAAAUUCUGGGGCUUAACUCCGGGCGUGCAGGCGAUACGGGCAUAACUUGAGUGCUGUAGGGGUAACUGGAAUUCCUGGUGUAGCGGUGAAAUGCGCAGAUAUCAGGAGGAACACCGAUGGCGAAGGCAGGUUACUGGGCAGUUACUGACGCUGAGGAGCGAAAGCAUGGGUAGCGAACAGGAUUAGAAACCCCUGUAGUCCC